GGUAGCUUAGUGGUAGAGCACUUGCUUAGCAUGUAUGAGGCCCUGGGUUCAAUUCCUCAGUACCA
rnacentral:tRNA from 1 species